rnacentral:rRNA from 1 species
AUUGAACGCUAGCGGGAUGAUUUACACAUGCAAGUCGAACGCGUGGCGGACGGGUGAGUACUAUAUCGGAACGUGCCCCGUAUCGGGGGAUAACUACUCGAAAGCGUGGCUAAUACCGCAUACUAUUGGCGCGGCCGAUAUCGGAUUAGCUAGUUGGUGGGGUAAAGGCUCACCAAGGCAACGCUCCGUAGAGGGUUUGAGAGGACGAGCAGCCACACUUGGACUGAGACACGGCCCAGACUCCUACGGGAGGCAGCAGGGGGGAAUUUGGGACAAGGGGGGAAACCCUGCUCCAGCCAUCCCGCGUGUAUGAGAAGGCCUUCGGGGUGUAAAGUACUUUUGGCAGAGAAGCGGAAUCUGCAGAAUAAGCACCGGCUAACUACGUGCCAGCAGCCGCGGUAAUUC